rnacentral:rRNA from 1 species
ACUCGAGUGGCGAACGGGUGAGUAACACGUGGGUGAUCUGCCCUGCACUUCGGGAUAAGCCUGGGAAACUGGGUCUAAUACCGGAUAGGAGCCAUUUUUAGUGUGAUGGUUGGAAAGUUUUUUCGGUGUAGGAUGAGCUCGCGGCCUAUCAGCUUGUUGGUGGGGUAAUGGCCUACCAAGGCGGCGACGGGUAGCCGGCCUGAGAGGGUGGACGGCCACAUUGGGACUGAGAUACGGCCCAGACUCCUACGGGAGGCAGCAGUGGGGAAUAUUGCACAAUGGGCGCAAGCCUGAUGCAGCGACGCCGCGUGGGGGAUGACGGCCUUCGGGUUGUAAACUCCUUUCGCUAGGGACGAAGCUUUUUGUGACGGUACCUAGAUAAGAAGCACCGGCUAACUACGUGCCUGCAGCCGCGGUAAUACGUAGGGUGCGAGCGUUGUCCGGAAUUACUGGGCGUAAAGGGCUCGUAGGUGGUUUGUCGCGUCGUCUGUGAAAUUCCNGGGGCUUAACUCCGGGCGUGCAGGCGAUACGGGCAUAACUUGAGUACUGUAAGGGUAACUGGAAUUCCUGGUGUAGCGGUGAAAUGCGCAGAUAUCAGGAGGAACACCGAUGGCGAAGGCAGGUUAC